rnacentral:misc_RNA from 1 species
GAUAAAAGUCGUAACAAGGUUUCCGUAGGUGAACCUGCGGAAGGAUCAUUAAAGAGUAAGGGUCUUCGGGCCCGAUCUCCAACCCUUUGUUUAACUACCAUGUUGCUUUGGCGGGCCCGUCUCACGACCGCCGGAAGUUUGGCUUCGACCAAACUUCUGGCCCGUGCCCGUCAGUGGCCCCUUCAAAUUCUUGAUCAAGUAUGAUGUCUUAGUUAAAAACUUAAUAGUUAAAACUUUCAACAACGGAUCUCUUGGUUCUG